rnacentral:rRNA from 1 species
CCCUUAGAUGUCCUGGGCCGCACGCGUGCUACACUGACGCCUACAGCGAGUACUUCCCAGCCCCGAGAGGUGGCUGGUAAUCAGCAAUAGGCGUCGUGAUGGGGAUAGAUCUUUGGAAUUAUGGAUCUUGAACGAGGAAUGCCUAGUAAGCGCAGGUCAUUAGUCUGCGCUGAUUAAGUCCCUGCCCUUUGUACACACCGCCCGUCGCUCCUACCGAUUUCGAGUGGUCCGGUGAAUCUUUCGGACUGCGCGCGGCCUCGUGCCGUGUCGCGGAAAGUCAGGUAAACCUUAUCACUUAGAGGAAGGAGAAGUCGUAACA